rnacentral:rRNA from 1 species
AUACGGAGGAUCCGAGCGUUAUCCGGAUUUAUUAGGUUUAAAGGGUGCGCAGGCGGGAGAUUAAGUCGGCGGUGAAAUUUUGCAGCUCAACUGUAAAAGUGCCUUCGAAACUGGUUUCCUUGAGUGUAGAUGAAGUAGGCGGAAUUUGUGGUGUAGCGGUGAAAUGCAUAGAUAUCACGAGGAACUCCGAUUGCGCAGGCAGCUUACUAAACUACUACUGACGCUCAGGCACGAAGGCGUGGGGAUCAAACAGGAUUAGAUACCCUGGUAGUCCACGCAGUAAACGAUGAUUACUAGCUGUUUGCGAUACAAUGUAAGCGGCUGAGCGAAAGCGUUAAGUAAUCCACCUGGGGAGUACGGUCGCAAGAAUGAAACUCAAAUGAAUUGACGGGG